UGCCAUCUAAGUCUCUUUCAGCCCCAGCCUGCCUCCCUGGUGUUCCCGGUCCUUGUAAGGUGCAGGCCAGCAUACAACACCUGCAAAAAAAGGUGCCAAGAGCAAAAACAAAGCCAUCACUUGGAGGAUAGGUAAAGUGAGCCAGCACGUUACACACGGAGUAGGAGAGUGUGGGGACUGAGGUCAAUUAUUCUGGAGCUAAGACGAUUCCGUCUGGCAGGUGGUCAGCAUGGUUCUGAGACCUGGGAUGCCUGCAUUGCUCCUUAUCCUCUUUCAUUCUGCGAUGUCUGGGUUUGGGCACGUCUUCAUUUUUAUGUAUGUGUUCCGUUGUGUGUCAAAAAGCCCCUCCCAACACACCAAAAUAAAUAAAUAGAAACUUUACUUUUA